AUUGAACGCUGGCGGCAGGCCUAACACAUGCAAGUCGAGCGCAGCGGCGGACGGGUGAUGAAUGCCUAGGAAUCAUCCUGGGGGUGGAAUAUAACGUCCGGGAACGUGAGAUAAUACCGCAUACUUUAAGAUCAGCCUCGGGAGGAUUAGCUAGUUGGUGGGGUAACGGCCUACCAAGGCGACGAGCCGUAACUGGUCUGAGAGUAUGAUCCUUCACACUGGAACUGAGACACGGGCCAGACUCCUACGUGAGGCAGCAGUGGGGAAUAUUGGACAAUGGGCGAAAGCCUGAUCCAGCCAUGCCGCGUGUGUGAAGAAGGGCUUCGGAUUGUAAAGCACUGUAAGUUGGGAGGCGUUACCAACAGAAUAAGCACCGGCUAACUUCGUGCCAGCAGCCGCGGUAAUAC
rnacentral:rRNA from 1 species